rnacentral:rRNA from 1 species
CCUACGGGAGGCUGCAGUGGGGAAUAUUUGACAAUGGGGGCAACCCUGAUCCAGCCAUGCCGCGUGUGUGAAGAAGGCCCUCGGGUUGUAAAGCACUUUCAGUGAGGAAGAACGCCUGGUGGUUAAUACCCAUCAGGAAAGACAUCACUCACAGAAGAAGCACCGGCUAACUCCGUGCCAGCAGCCGCGGUAAUACGGAGGGUGCGAGCGUUAAUCGGAAUUACUGGGCGUAAAGCGCGCGUAGGUGGCUUGAUAAGCCGGUUGUGAAAGCCCCGGGCUCAACCUGGGAACGGCAUCCGGAACUGUCAAGCUAGAGUGCAGGAGAGGAAGGUAGAAUUCCCGGUGUAGCGGUGAAAUGCGUAGAGAUCGGGAGGAAUACCAGUGGCGAAGGCGGCCUUCUGGACUGACACUGACACUGAGGUGCGAAAGCGUGGGUAGCAAACAGGAUUAGAUACCCCAGUAGUC